UCCCUUGGACCCAGCAUCUUCCACACGCGACCCUGACGGCUCAGCCGACGCCUCCAAUAGCUAAUUUGUAGGUGAUACGAUGCAGGUUACUGGAGAGGUGGAUUGGAAGGAGAUAGAAGAUGGUGCUGGUGCGACGUAGUUAAGGAACCUGGAUGGAAGUUUGUUGUGCCGAGCGCGAUGAGGGCUGCCAGGGUCACGGCGGGGGGCGGGGCGAGGGAAGAGGAAGAUCGUCGCUUGCGCUGCGGUGGAGGUGCGCCCUGGAGGCACGGCGGGCUUGCGUCUCCCACUCCGGCGCACUCGGCCCUCGCGGGAGCCUUCGGGUCAAGGGAAGGCCUUGGGUUCGGAAAGUAGGAACCAGGUGAUAAGACGUUUUUCCGGCGCGAUGUCUGUGUCCCGUGGAAAAGGUCUCAUCUCCCAGGGCGGGUGGUUUAUUUUGUAUAGGUUUAUGUAUAUGUUUUCUGUAUCCAAGACAACGUUUAAUAUGUAUGAUCCAGUUUUCAUGUUAGAUAAAUGAGAUUUCUUGU